CAAAGAAGACAGAGGACAUAACUCUAGGAAGAAGCUUCGCCUCUCGAAAGAUCAAUCGGCUGUUCUUGAAGAGAGCUUCAAAGAACACAAGCUCCAUCGGUUGUUCAGAGCGAUUUCAAAGAUUCAGAUCGAUAUCAAUCGGUUGUUCAGAGCGAUUUCGAAGAUUCAGAUCGAUUUUGAGAUUCAGAGUGAUUUCGAAGCUCCGUCGCCACCGUCAUCUGCACCGGUGAGGUUCAUCCAGAAGGGAAAUACGUUGUUGAUAUCGAUAAGAGCAUAGAUAUAACAAAGCUCACACCAUCAACCAGAGUUGCCCUUCGUAAUGACAACUAUGUGCUUCACUUAGGCCAUUUUCUUUUUUGCCUUCCUGUCAUCCUUUCCAAAUUCCUUCCUGUGUUGGUGCAUUUAGAGGCUAUGACUGUACAUGAGUAAACCAUCCUAGCUAAUUUUUCUUCCGUACUCUAUUAAGUUCUUGUGAAUGAGUUAUUUUUUUCCCCCUGUGUGUGUGGUUUUAUUUCUUGUCAUGCUAAUUAUUCAUCUCAACAUCAUAUUUUAGAUAUACAUAAUGCAUGUUGCAGUGAGAAUGGGUUGAAGAGCAUGGCUGGCUUUCUAAUCUUCCUAACCAAAGUUCGUUCUAAAUUGCAAGUAAUAGCUGCUUUCACUGUGCUUUAGAAGCACUUCUUGUUUUCAUCUGUUUGAUUCUAAAUUAUGGGUAAUGCUCUUUCAAUCUCUCCCUACUUAUUGACGAGCAACCUUGACAUUAUGCGAUGAUUAUUUUUGGAUAUCUGUUGGCCAUAUUUUAAAUGUCCAUUUGCUCUGCUUCCUGGUUUUCUGGAGAUUAUGUUUCAUGUAUCUUGUCUUUGCCAUGCUUACCUUAAAAUCUUAUUAAUCUUGUUUUUUUAAAGGGUUUGCAGAAACAGGACAUCUUUGGAUCUUCAAAUAAAUCUGUGUAAACUGUGCAGAUGAAUUUGAAUGAAGAUCUUGUAGCAGCUUUCAAAGUGAACUGGGAUUUAUGUCCAAUUUGAAAUGAUCCAGUCCCUUUUGAAUGGGCCAUUUUUUGUUUGAUAUCUAUCCAAUUUCUUAAUAUAGGUUAUAAAUUGGACUAAAUUGACCCAAUUUAAUAAAUUAAUGGAUGAAAUUGGUAAAAUUGAAACUACAUAACUAGAUUGAAAUUAGAGAUAUAUCACAGGUAUAAUUGACAUAUUUUUUAUUUAUAAAUUGUCUAUUAUACGUUUUUGUUGAACACCUCCAUAUAGCAUCAUCUGUUUCGGGCUGUUCAUGAUGUUGCCACAUCAUUUUAACAUGAUUGGUAGUUUGAUUCUCUUUGUUUUCAGCGAUUACCAACUGUUGAAAACUACAUUGAGAAUUAUGAUUAAUAUUUUUUUCUGUAUUUACAUAUUGCGAGUGCUCAAUGUAUGCAUUGAGGUUUGACGGUACUUUUCUGUAACCAUAUGAAGAUAGAAGAAAUUGGAUCUCCAAAAAACUGUUUGAAUCUAAUAUAAAGACUCUUCAGAACUUCAGUUUCAGGUUGUGGACUGCCUAGUUGUUUUUGACAUUUGUGCAAAUCUUUUAGAUGGAAGAACUGACGAAGAACCAGAUUUUUGCUACACAUGCAGUUGCUGCUGCAGGUUCAUUCACAUUAGGCACUACCCUCACUUACCAUCUUGAUACUAUCAAAGUCCUUAUAUAGGUAGGGUCAGUUUCUAAUAAACAGUUGACUACAGCUCAGGCUCUUGAUAGAGUUAAAACUUUAUCAGAAAAUGCAGGUUUGUAUAGUGGUUUUGGGUGGUUAAUGUUGGGAAGGAUUUUAGGUGCUCUUGCUGGCUUUGGUAUUUAUGAAAUUUUGACAGCUUUUUUUAUAAAGUUAGCAUAGGUGCCUGGGAAUGUUGAUAUGGUUAUCUUCCCAAAUUAUGUGAGUGAAUUGGUUUUCUUUUAAAUAAUUAUUUAGUACUUAAUACUAUGAAUUUAUACUACUAUUAUCUAGUAAGUAGUUUAUUGUUUUGAUUUCACCUUUCAUAUAUAAUUCUGAUGUAACUUUUAUUCCCUGCAACAUUCCAUUUUCUGAGUCUGAUCUGCGCAAGGCCUCUGAAUCAUUGAAGAGAGUUGCAGCAGCGAUUUUGGUAGCUCAUGACUAAAUUGAAGAGUGUACAUCAUAUCUCAUUUUAUUUUUCCAAUGAUCUUUCAGACAUUUCUUUGAUUGGGCCAAUAGAAAAACCUGGGAAUUUUUUUCUUGGUAGAAGCUUUCAUAGUACUUGUAUGUAUAAUUAGUUUGAAUUGCAUCUUUUGUGCCGAUCUGUUUUGUAAUAACUUUCAACUUACCACUAGGCACUAGUUUAACUUUAUUUCAUCUUAAAAUUGAAAUAUUUUUGCAUA